AUUGAACGCUGGCGGCAGGCCUAACACAUGCAAGUCGAUCGAGCGGCGGACUGGUGAGUAAUGUAUGGGGACUGCCCGAUAGAGGGGGAUAACUACUGGAAACGGUGGCUAAUACCGCAUACUAUCGUAUAACCCAUAUGGGAUUAGCUAGUAGGUGGGGUAAAGGCUACCCUAGGCGACGGUCUCUACCUGGACUGAGAGGCUGAUCAGCCACACUGGGGCAGAGAUACGGCCCAGACUCCUACGGAGGCAGCAGUUGGGAUAAUUGCACAAUGGGCGAAAGCAUGAUGAAACCAGGCCGCGUGUAUGAAGAAGGCAUUAGGGUUGUAAAGUACUAUCAGCGGAGAGGCGUUACCCGAAGAAGAAGCACCGGCUAACUCCGGGCCAGCAGCCGCGGUAAUUC
rnacentral:rRNA from 1 species